rnacentral:rRNA from 1 species
CACGUAGGCACCAAGCGUUGUCCGGAUUUAUUGGGCGUAAAGAGCUCGUAGGCGGCUUGUCGCGUCGGAUGUGAAAGCCCGGGGCUUAACUCCGGGUCUGCAUUCGAUACGGGCAGGCUAGAGUUCGGUAGGGGAGAUCGGAAUUCCUGGUGUAGCGGUGAAAUGACGCAGAUAUCAGGAGGAACACCGGUGGCGAAGGCGGUUCUCUGGGCCUUACCUGACGCUGGAGGAGCGAAAGCGUGGGGAGCGAACAGG